rnacentral:rRNA from 1 species
CCUACGGGUGGCAGCAGUAGGGAAUAUUGCUCAAUGGGGGAAACCCUGAAGCAGCAACGCCGCGUGGAGGAUGAAGGUUUUCGGAUUGUAAACCCCUUUUUUUAGAGGAGAUAAUGACGGUAUCUAACGAAUAAGCACCGGCUAACUCCGUGCCAGCAGCCGCGGUAAUACGGAGGCUGCAAGCGUUACUCGGAAUCACUGGGCGUAAAGCGCGCGUAGGCGGGUUAGCAAGUCAGUUGUGAAAUCCUUUGGCUUAACCAUAGAACUGCAUUUGAAACUGUUAGUCUAGAGUAGGGGAGAGGUAGGUGGAAUUCUUGGUGUAGCGGUGAAAUCCGUAGAGAUCAAGAAGAAUACUCAUUGCGAAGGCAACCUGCUAGACCAUAACUGACGCUGAUGCGCGAAAGCGUGGGGAGCAAACAGGAUUAGAUACCCGGGUAGUC